CUACGGGUUGCUCCAGUGGGGAAUAUUGCACAAUGGGCGAAAGCCUGAUGCAGCAACGCCGCGUGGAGGAUGACACAUUUCGGUGCGUAAACUCCUUUUAUAUAAGAAGAUAAUGACGGUAUUAUAUGAAUAAGCACCGGCUAACUCCGUGCCAGCAGCCGCGGUAAUACGGGGGGUGCAAGCGUUACUCGGAAUCACUGGGCGUAAAGAGCAUGUAGGCUGGAUGACAAGUUGGAAGUGAAAUCCUAUGGCUUAACCAUAGAACUGCUUCCAAAACUGUCUUCCUAGAGUAUGGGAGAGGUAGAUGGAAUUUCUGGUGUAGGGGUAAAAUCCGUAGAGAUCAGAAGGAAUACCGAUUGCGAAGGCGAUCUACUGGAACAUUACUGACGCUCAGAUGCGAAAGCGUGGGGAGCAAACAGGAUUAGAUACCCUGGUAGUC
rnacentral:rRNA from 1 species